GAACGCACCUUGCGCCCUUUGGUAUUCCGAAGGGCAUGCCUGUUUGAGUGUUAUUAAUAUCUCACUCUUAAAGUCUUUUAUUAGGCUUCAAGAUGUGGACUUUGGAGGUUUUUGCAGGCUAUCACUGGUCAGCUCCUCUUAAAUGUAUUAGCGGAACUCUAUGCAGUACCGGCUUCAGUUUGAUAAUCCUAUCUAUGCUGUCGCCGUGAACUGUUCUGUUUAGCUUACAACUGUCUUUUUAUAAAGACUACCAUUCAUUUGGUAUAACUUUAAGCUUAACCUCAAAUCAGGUAGGACUACCCGCUGAACUUAAG
rnacentral:misc_RNA from 1 species